GCCGUCGUUGUUCUUUAACCUACUUCAUAAUAACUCCGUCGAAGUUAAGCGGUCUGAUUAACGGACACCGUUAUCGUUGUUGUUCUCCUCAAACUCUUCGUCACUUCUCUCUUUCUGGACUCCGGAGGGCUUUGGAUUUGGAGGGGGAGAUGAGCGUUGUUCUUGCGGUCUGUAAAAGGGCUCUGUAAUUCUCCGCAAUUGGAUAUCCAUCGCGAAAUUCGAAUCUCUUUUGAUUGCCCUAAUUUCUCUAAUACUAAUUAAUGGCGGCGGGCACACAGUUGUUGCUGAGAAAUGUUUGUGCUGUUCAUCAUGAAUAGAUAACACCUUACACCAAGCUUAGCUUAACUGCCAGAUUUAAUCUUAUUUAUACAAUAAGAUUGUAAAUGCAUUGAUUUGGAUUAACUGCUACUUGAUAAUCAUGUUUCCCUUUCUUUUUGAACCAAUAAUACAUAUUAGCUUCAUCUCCUGAAACUAGCUUUGUUUUGGUUC